AGAGUUUGAUCCUGGCUCAGAGUGAACGCUGGCGGUAGGCCUAACACAUGCAAGUCGAACGGCAGCACAGGAGAGCUUGCUCUCUGGGUGGCGAGUGGCGGACGGGUGAGGAAUACAUCGGAAUCUACCUUUUCGUGGGGGAUAACGUAGGGAAACUUACGCUAAUACCGCAUACGACCUACGGGUGAAAGUGGGGGACCGCAAGGCCUCACGCGAUUAGAUGAGCCGAUGUCCGAUUAGCUAGUUGGCGGGGUAAUGGCCCACCAAGGCGACGAUCGGUAGCUGGUCUGAGAGGAUGAUCAGCCACACUGGAACUGAGGCACGGUCCAGACUCCUACGGGAGGCAGCAGUGGGGAAUAUUGGACAAUGGGCGCAAGCCUGAUCCAGCCAUACCGCGUGGGUGAAGAAGGCCUUCGGGUUGUAAAGCCCUUUUGUUGGGAAAGAAAUCCUGUCGAUUAAUACUCGGUGGGGAUGACGGUACCCAAAGAAUAAGCACCGGCUAACUUCGUGCCAGCAGCCGCGGUAAUACGAAGGGUGCAAGCGUUACUCGGAAUUACUGGGCGUAAAGCGUGCGUAGGUGGUGGUUUAAGUCUGCUGUGAAAGCCCUGGGCUCAACCUGGGAAUUGCAGUGGAUACUGGAUCACUAGAGUGUGGUAGAGGGAUGCGGAAUUUCUGGUGUAGCAGUGAAAUGCGUAGAGAUCAGAAGGAACAUCCGUGGCGAAGGCGGCAUCCUGGGCCAACACUGACACUGAGGCACGAAAGCGUGGGGAGCAAACAGGAUUAGAUACCCUGGUAGUCCA
rnacentral:rRNA from 1 species